UACGGAGGGUGCAAGCGUUAUCCGGAUUCACUGGGUUAAAGGGAGCGUAGGUGGGCUGGUAAGUCAGUGGUGAAAUCUCCGGGCUUAACUCGGAAACUGCCGUUGAUACUAUCAGUCUUGAAUAUUGUGGAGGUAAGCGGAAUAUGUCAUGUAGCGGUGAAAUGCUUAGAUAUGACACAGAACACCGAUUGCGAAGGCAGCUAGCUAAAGUACAAUUGACGCUGAUGCACGAAAGCGUGGGGAGCAAACAGG
rnacentral:rRNA from 1 species